GUGCUGGCCUUGGCAGCACAUAUACUAAAACUGGAGUAAUACAGAGAAGAUUAGCAUGGCCUCUGCACAAAGAUGACACACAAAUUAGUGAUGCCUUCCAUAUUUUU
ensembl:snRNA U6 U6 spliceosomal RNA